rnacentral:rRNA from 1 species
UACGUAGGUGGCAAGCGUUUGUCCGGAUUUACUGGGCGUAAAGAGCGCGCAGGCGGUCGUCCAAGUCGCGUGUGAAAGCCCCGGCUCAACUGGGGAGGUCACGCGAUACUGGUCGACUCGAAGGCGGGAGAGGGUAGUGGAAUUCCCGGUGUAGUGGUGAAAUGCGUAGAUAUCCGGAGGAACACCAGUGGCGAAGGCGACUUCCUGGCCUGUUCUUGACGCUGAGGCGCGAAAGCUGGGGGAGCAACGG